GACAGAGGUGGCGAGCGUUGUUCGGAUUUAUUGGGCGUAAAGCGUACGCAGGCGGUUUGGUAAGUCAGAGGUGAAAGACCACAGCUUAACUGUGGCACUGCCUUUGAUACUGCCUUUCUUGAGUAGAGUAGGGGGAAGCGGAAUUCCGAGUGUAGAGGUGAAAUUCGUAGAUAUUCGGAGGAACACCGGUGGCGAAGGCGGCUUCCUGGACUCUAACUGACGCUCAUGUACGAAAGCGUGGGUAGCAAACAGG
rnacentral:rRNA from 1 species